rnacentral:rRNA from 1 species
UCGAUUCUUGGUCAUUUAGAGGAAGUAAAAGUCGUAACAAGGUUUCCGUAGGUGAACCUGCGGAAGGAUCAUUAUGAAUUAAUAAUAUUUGUGAAAUUUCAACAAACAACAUCAAUUUUAUAGUCUAUUAUUUUUAAUUAAAACUUUUAACAAUGGAUCUCUUGGUUCUCGUAUCGAUGAAGAACGCAGCGAAACGCGAUAUUUCUUGUGAAUUGCAGAAGUGAAUCAUCAGUUUUUGAACGCACAUUGCACUUUGGGGUAUCCCCCAAAGUAUACUUGUUUGAGCGUUGUUUCUCUCUUGGAAUUGCUUUGCUCUUCUAAAAUUUCGAAUCAAAUUCGUUUGAAAAACAACACUAUUCAACCUCAGAUCAAGUAGGAUUACCCGCUGAACUUAAGCAUAUCAAUAAGCGGAGGA